CCACCGCUUCCACUGACGAAGAGGAGAGAAGGGGACGCCGUUGAACAAACCGUGCGAGAGAGGGAGCUGUCUUCCGCGCGUCGCCAUCAUCGAGUUUGAGGCGGAGAGGAAGGGCGCGAGCGGGAGGAAGAAGCCGUCGCCGUCACCGUUCGUGCUCCGUCGUCGCUGUCGUUCGUGAACCAGACGCCGUCGCCAUCAGAAUCUCCUGCCGCCGCCAAGAAUCCCGUCACUGUCAGAUCCAUCGCAUCGCCGUUGGGGGGCUUCGAAGGGGGAGAAGAAGCUGAUUCCGUUACACCUGCUGCCGGAGGGGGAACCAGCUGCGCCACCGCGCCUCUGUUGCCGGGAAACGCUGCUGCUGCUGCCGAGAUCCACUGCCGCUAUGUUUCUAUGUUUUCCCUUUGUUACAGAUUGAUUCUUGGUUGUUGCAUGUCGCGUUUGGG